UUUUACACUUCUUCUCACCCUCCACUCUCGUCCUCUUGUAAAAUAUUUGAAGUUAAUAAAAUAAGCUUUGUAGUAUCCUGGUCACUCCUUCCUAUUGUGUUCCUUCUAUAAUAUUGCUGGUGUCGUCGAAUGGGAGGAUUCAACUGAUGGGCUGGAGGUGGGCAGCGUUAAUGGAGGGUGCUUCAGGGGGUGGGUGUCAGUUGUAUUAGGUGGAGGAAUCAACGACAACAUGUAUGAUCUGGAAGCGGCCAAUGGUGGGGAUAUAUGAGGAAAGAUCGACUAUUGUUUAGAUUAAGGUUAUGAGGCAGCGAUGCUGGUUGUUGUGGGUGACGACGGAAAGGAGUAAUGGAAGAGUUGUGAGCGAUUGUUUUAAUAUGAGGUUAAUUAGAUGCACUGUAUGGAUUUAAGGGAUUUGACCCAUUGAUUUAGGGAUUAUAAUCAAAUGCAUAUAUAAAAUGACAAAA